rnacentral:lncRNA from 1 species
CGCUGACGGGGGUACAUGUCGUGUCUCCUGAUCUUCGUGUAAUCUGCUUCUGCUGCUGUUUUUACGGUGUAUCUUGUUAUUUAGAUUAUAACUGUCUGCUUCUAGGAUUAUAGCUGUGUCUGCUGCUGGGACUAAAGCUGUGUCUGCUGCUGGGACUAUAGCUGUGCAUACUAAUACGUCUAGUCUAUAGCCUUGCCUACUGUUGAGUCCAAUUCUGUGGUCAUCGUUGCGUUUGAUUCUGCACUACUUCUGAGCCUUCUGCUGGGACUGCCAACAUGUCUUCUGUGACUGCUGUUCAACCUACAAUAGAACCUGCUUGCCUUUCUUUAUGAUUGUUUCGUCUAAUUUUGUGGUUGUUGUCUUGACUGCUUCUUUACUUACUGGCUUGAGUUACAACUUAGGGUCGUUAUUGCGACUACUAUUGCCCCUACUGCCAUGAUCGCCGUUAUGUCUUGGACUAUGCCUCUGGAAGACACUAUAAUAAGGAAGCAGUUGUGACUCUGUUAGUGAAUGGAUAUGUAGUGUUAUUGAAAUGCAUGAAAAACACAAUAAGCAAAUUGCAGUGCGGCCAGCAACCACGAGGGUCCACACAAGAGUGAAGGCCAGCCAAUCCACCGUCUACCGCCUCACCUGUUACAUUAUUUACCCGAUACUUGUGUGAGGGACCACCGAUGCACCACAAGACGUAGCUGGACACGGUGAUCAUGAGCCAGACACUCACUGGUGUUGUCUUGGUAUGGCUCCUUUGCACUGCGCCCACAAUAACAGCUGGUUCUCUCGCAGGUGUGUUGAGCGGGCAAUUGAAGGUGGAUCCAGCUGUGUGGAUGGCAGCCAGCAGUGUGGACGAACUCACAGAGACAACACUACAAGGCCACACUGUAUUCGUCUACCAUGCCUUGGACAAGGGUGAUCUGGCCUGCCUCACAACCUCCAUCCAGCGCAAGACAUCGCAGUUGUCGGUGUUCAGUCAGAGAGAAUGGAACCAUGUGUUUUGGUCGCCCAUCACAGAAAACGAUAGACCCGAGAGACGACCUAGUAAUUUAAUUAUAUUUGGUAUUGCAGAUUUUAUGUAUAUGAGACAAUUAAUAUGUAAAGUGAAAGUAUUUAUAAUAUCAGUUUGUUUUGAAUCAUUAGAUCAACUUUUGAAAAGUUCAAAAAUAAUGUAAUAAGAUAUUGUUGCUUAUAUGUUCCAGAAAUGUGACAACUUCUUGUAUAAAGUAAAAGUAUCUUAAAAUAUUUUGUUUUGAAAUAUUAGAUAAUCUUUUGAAAAGUUCUAAGAAAUUGUACGAACACAGUUAACGAGAGAAAGCUAACUACUUUAGUUGUUAUGAAUUGAAUAUUUAAUGACAUAUUAAUAAUUUGUUAUCAGAUUCAGUCUACAUAGGAACAUAUGUCCAAUAUAUUCAAACAAAUCUAAACUGACAACUCGCAAUACUCGUGAACAAUAAAAAUUCUAAUAGUUACUUAAUUUAUCUAAGGGCUACCGUAACUUAGUGAUGGACAUGAAAGGGAAAAGUCUUGCCUACGGCUCAGUACUCUUCUUGCUUAGCUUCCUCGGCUAAGCGUGACAAUAUUGCGAACUUUGAUGCGUUGGACACCAUGAAGAAGUGAUUUGGGUUUAUGUCUUCCACUCCUUUUGGAUUUUCAAGGUUUCCCUAAGGUCUUCUGCCAUGUUGUGACUUGUUUAAAGAGUUCUCAGUAACCAAGGCCCUCAGACAACUUAAGUAAUCCAAAUGAAUGAUUUUUUUUUUGUAUUUUGUGUCAUCAUUAUUUAACAUUAUAUAAAAUUCUUGCACACUGUGGCACAUCAGGAUUUCCUCAACGCAAAAUAAUGUGACCAAUAGAAUUAUAACUCGGUCAAUAUCAUUCAUAGCUGCAAAAAUAUCUUGUGGUAAGUUGUGGGAUGUGAUAUAUCUAGUUCCUCAAUCUCUGAAUCUAGUUCCGGGUGUGAUUCAGCAACAAGUGACAGUACAACUAAAGGACUUUUCUCCAACAGCCUUUAACAUAUAAAAUUUUAACCUUUUAAAUGUGAUAACUACUUGUAUUAGUGAUGAGGGACGAGUCUUUGAUCAAGUUAUUAUUCAGUAACUCAUGAACAUUAAGUUAGGUUUAGGUGAGGUAAAGUUAGCUAGGUUUAGAUAAGGAGAGGUUUAGGUGAGGUAAAGUUAGCUAGGUUUAGAUAAGGAGAUGUUUAGGUGAGGUAAAGUUAGCUAGGUUUAGAUAAGGAGAGGUUUAGGUGAGGUAAAGUUAGCAAGGUUUAGAUAAGGAGAGGUUUAGGUGAGGUAAAGUUAGCUAGGUUUAAAUAAGGAGAGCCUUAGACAUCAUCAGGUGUGGAUACGUAUCGCAGUGAGUAUUGUGAUUCUUAUUGAAAUUAAAGUAAGGAGUUUAGAGUUACACAAGAUAUAUUCAACAUUAAUUAUUUAGAAUUAAAGUUUUCGAACCUUUACUCUUCAUUAGAUAUUUUCAUUAAUUUUGAUAUAAGAAGACUUUGAUUUUACCGACAAACACAAAAUUAAACAUAACCUUUUAGCGGGAAUUCUUGGGGACGAAAUACACUACAAUGGCAGGUAUGGGGACGAGUGCCAAGCCAACGUUUAUGUCCCUCUCUCUCUUAAAGCAUAAAUUCUCUCUCUUAAUGCUUAAACUCUCUCUUAAUGCUUAAAUUCUCUCUUAAUGCUUAAAUUUUCUCUCUUAAUGCUUAAAUUCUCUCUCUUAAUGCUUAAAAUCUCUCUCAUAAUGCUUAAAAUCUCUCUCAUAAUGCUUAAGUUCUUUCUCUCAAUGCUUAAAAUAUCAAUUGAUCAGUAACUUCAUAAUUUUUCAUAUAAAAAUUGCAAGAUAAGUAUCACCUAUUAUUUCUAUAUGAGAAAACAUCUAUAGAAUUGAUCAUACGUGUUCAAAACUCUUGAGGUCUUGCCUAAUAUACAGGUACAGUAUUUGAGACUUGAUAUGGGACACUUUAUGCCCACCAAGACUAUUUCCUAAUGUUACCGGAGGGGAGAGGGGUUAGGUUAGGUUAGGUUGGCAUUAUAGUGACUAUUCUCAAUGUAAAACUAGGGAGGGAUUAAUCUUCAAGCGAUUCCUAGAUUGUUUAAAUAAAUUACAUCUUCCAUAGUUCUAUCAUUCAGUUUCCUAAAUGGGGUCGUUUUUAUCAUAGCCAUGUGUGUCUUGAACUAAAAUAAACUACGAUAAAAAUUAAUUAUAGGUUACUGAAGGUGAUUUAAAUUUUACCUCAUGUGUGACACAAAUGAAGCCUUUUUAGUUUUUCAGGUGUUGUACUGACUGCAGGAACGACCACGUCAGGGGUAUUCAAUACUCUUCUUCUGUAAACUUUUAUGCAUAUUAUCUCACUUAACUAACAUGACUGCAGCAGAGGUGGGGUACAGGACACCCAACGCUUCCCAGGUGGUGCAGCAUGUUAGCUAAUUCUUCUUCUGAAUAAACUUUUUACUAUUAC